UCAGCGAAAGUAUGGUGGAUUUGCAAAGCUCAGGAGGGAUAGCGCCCAUGGUAUGUGAACUGCCUCUUGCAGCCAUGAGACGCUAUCCAUCCUGAGUUUUUUGACUUCUCCCUGCUAUCUGG
rnacentral:pre_miRNA from 1 species